ensembl:lncRNA
GAGAUUCAAAGAGAUGUCAAGUGUAGUAAGGAGGAUGUGGAAGAGGAGUUUAAUUUGUCCUAUUGCCUCUUGACAGGUUACGGAUCCUCAUCUCUGGGUGGAACCGGCUAUGGGCCAGGUAAGGGUUUGUGUUCUUAAUAAAUCCGUCAAAUUUUGCCAAAUCUACUAAUGCACCUGUGAAAGUAUGACCAACUCAGAUAGGAACAUCAACUUUCCGUCUUCAGCCAAACACCAACAUCGGAACACCCAUUGGUGGUUUUGGGCUGGUGACGGAUAAAUGUUCUUAUGCUUGAACAAGAUCAGUGUUGGCCAAUUUCAGCCACCAUUGUACAGUUGAUUGUUGCUGUUAAUUGGGCCCUUGUGCAAACAUCUUGAGUCAAAUUAUGAGUCAAAUUCAUUGCUUAAGAGUACAGCCAAACCUUCAUGUACCUGUGUCCGUUGGAGGUGGGGCAGGUGCUAACGCUGGGGGAGUCGGUCAUGGUCCCGGAGGAGUCGGACCAGGUGGGUACCAACCUGCAGGAACUGGCACGGGAGGUUACGGGCCCGGAGGUGCUGGACAAGGCAGAUAUGGACCAGCAGGUGGGGCUGGUGGAUUUGGCCCUGGUGGACAGGGACUAGGAACAAGAAAAGCUCCUAAAUCGGGUUACGGUUCCUCAUCCGGUGGAACAGGCUUUGGACCAGCAGGUGGUGCCAUUGGAGGUGUUCCCAGUGCAGGAACAGCAGGUGGAGUGGGAGGAGGUGCAGGAGGAUUUUUUGGUGGAGCUGGCUACAGACCAGGUGAGAGGCUCCAAACAUAUGCAAUAAGUGAACUUAUAAGCGGGGAACAGUGAUAUGUGUUCCUUUCAAAAGACUCGAUGCUAAACAUCAAGAGCAAACAACAUUAUUUGACUGUGGUUGUGAUUUGUGUUUGGUGAUCCAUGUGGGUUUUUGGAGUGUUUGUUUCUACACUCUAACACAGGGGUAUUCAACCACUGGGCCACGGACCGGUAACGGACUGCGGAGCAUUGGUCCCCGUGCCGCAGAGAUUUAGAAAUAAAGCCUACCAGAUUAUAUUUUUUGUAAUAAUUAAAAAAAUUAUAUAGUGGGACAUACGGGACCUCUGCGCCACAAAUAUUUCAAAUAUGCAUACAAGCAAUAAAAAGGUUGAGGAACCCUGCUCUAACACAGCUAUGUGUUCAGGUGGUGGAGCAGGAGGAGUAGGUGGAGCAGGAGGUGCUGGCCAGGCAGCAGGAGGAGUAGGUGGAGGCCAAGGCGUAGUACCGGGUCAGUUUGCAGUAUCAAUUGAUUGUUUCAACACUGCAUCCAUUUGUCUUAAGAGUUCCUCAAAAUCAAACAUAUAAUGGGAUGUAGUUAUGUAAUGUAAUACAUGCAUCAUUCCUAUAGGUGGCGUUGGUCCUGGAAGUGGGGGUGUGAAUCGUGGGAAUUAUCCAGGUUGGCUGUCUUUACGGACAGAGACACACACGCACACACGCGCACACACACACACACACACACACACACACACACACACACACACACACACACACACACACACACACACACACACACACACACAUAUGCACACACACACACACAUGUACAUACACAUAUGCACACACACACACACACACACGCACGCACGCCAUACGCGCGCGCACGUGCGCGCGCACACACACACACACACACAGGAAUGUAGAUAACACAAUGCCUUAAACAAUGAAUUUUUAGGUAAUUGUUGGUCUUGGCCAGAGUUCAUUCAUGUGCUCUGAUAACAGCAUUGUUGAUAUGGCACUGAGGAUGAGGAUAGGUUGUUUAUUGUUACUAAACUGAUCCUUCUCUUUCCUCUCAUUAUUCUCAAGGAUAUGCCUUGGCUGGACAAAAGAGUAAGACAACUUUCUGUGAUCUUUAGCAAACAUUCAACAACAUACAAAAAAAUAUAUAACAAAUAUAUCGAAAUACGUCUUCCCAAUCAUUGAGGUAAAUUCCCUCCCUGUAUUGUGUUUCCUCAGCCAAACAACAGAAGGCAGCCAAGUAUGCAGCCAUGCAGGCCUUCCUGGGCUCUGGGGGCUACAGAGGUAACUGUUGGUGCCUCCUCUUCGUCUAGAUAGAUCAUUCCUGCCACAUCAGACCCAUUGUGGUCAGAAAACACUUUCACACUUAUCAGAGCGAUGCAUUUUUCAACAUUGUAGAACUCUACUACAAACUAUAUCUCUGUUGUAUUAUACGUUUUCUGUGAUGCUAUGACUUUUAAAGAACUGUUCAUCUGUGGCCUGUUGACAUAUGGAGUGCCGCCAGUGAUUUGUCUUCUGGGUCCCCAGGAGCUGGAUGCCAGGGUAAAUACUGUGGCCGGAGGAGGAAGUGAGAGCUAAAGGAAGGACUUCCUCUGGACAGCGGUGCGAUGUUAUGAUGUCCGAAAGUACCUGAAGUACCAAAGAAACGACCAGUUUAAUUACAUCCACUGUUAAUUCAAGUCAAACACGUUAUUAAUUUAGUAUCUGUUGAGGGAAGUAUGCCAAAGUGUUUGACUCUAAUUAUAGUAUUUUCCUGAAUUGUUUUGAAGUUAAUUAUAUUGUUAUAAUUAGCUGAUCAUCUGUAUCAUUAAUCCAGAAGGGAAACAAUGUUGUCGAUUAAUUCCUCUAGGCAAUAUGCACUGUUUUGCGUGGCUAGCAUUGCUGUGUUAAUUGUGUUAAUCUAUAAUUGUUAAGAGAUUGCGAGAAAAAAAACUGUGUGUGUGUGUGUGUGUGUGUGUGUGUGUGUGUGUGUGUGUGUGUGUGUGUGUGUGUGUGUGUGUGUGUGUGUGUGUGUGUGUGUGUGCGCGUGUGUGUUGCUUAGACUUGUGACCAUUCUGAUCCCUAAAACCAGUCUGCUUCCAUCCAUCACUUGUUCUGUCAGACAGACCCACUGAUAAAUGCGUGUGUUGAUUCUAAUUGAGAUGUGUUUUGUUAUACUUUCCCAAAAUGUCCAAUUGCAGCCAUGAUAUGGUUCACCAUUUCACAGCAAACUCUCUAAUUUCUCUGAUUCUACAAUCUUCCCCACUGAGUGAAACAAACACAUCAUGACAAUAGCCAUUGUAGCUCAUAGGGAACAUUUGGUUGGAAACCCUUGGAGACAGAGGGCCUUUACAUUGUCUCACCGUCAACUAGGUCAUUAUGCGUUUGCUAUGAAUGCAAGCUAAGGAUUUCAUCUGCUGUAAAUUUGUUUUUAUUAAUGUUUUUUUUUCAUUUAAAAGAUGUAUUAGUGUGUUAAUGCAAUUUAACUUUAUCAAUCUAAAGAAAAGUGAGAUUUUGUUUGUUAAUUGUGUUUUAAUAUGAAUUUAUACUGAGAAAUGCCAUGAAUUUUUCUGACAUUUUAAAAAUAAAAAUGGAAAAAGAAAAGGUUUGUUCAGAC